GUCCAGGGUGAAUGAGUGUAUCCGUCUCCAUCGUCAGCCUGCUGAUACUCAGACAAUGCUGAUCUACCAUCCCUCCUUUCAAGUUUCGUAGUUCAGGUCAACAUUCAUGACUUCGACAAACAGUCUGCCACCUUCAUCAGCUCAGCCACUGGGGCCAUCACCAUCUCCUACAUCAUGAGGAUAUGCACAAUGUGCUUUGUACAGAGGGAUCGUGAUCUAGGUGUUUGCAAAGAGCAUGCGUGAGGGCUAUAUACCAUUAGAGGAGCUCUUACAGACAAUGCACAGACAAUAUAGUAUUUCAAGCAUCAGGAUUUUUUUUCUUCCCUUUACCCAUCAUCAUUCUCUGCGGUGAGGACUACUAGGGAGGGAGUUUCUGCGGUAAUAUAUGCAACACCAAGCAUAUCCGAUAUACUUCCCGUCAGUGCAGGAGAGUAGUUUAGAGGUUGCAUAAGUGCAUGUCAUUGCUGGAGUGUACCAGUAUAAAAUGUGCUGAAAUUAUUUCGUAGCUAAUAAAGUAAAUUUACAACCUUUUGUUUAUACGGGUUACUGGUAAUUAGUAAGUCUCUCUGACGUGUUCCGGCUGUUAUGCUUAAUUCCAUGUCCAGUUUGUAGUUCUGUUGGACCUUCAAGCAAUUAUAUAUUGGUUGUUCGGUGACA